AGCGAACGCUGGCGGCAGGCCUAACACAUGCAAGUCGAACGAACUCUUCGGAGUUAGUGGCGGACGGGUGAGUAACACGUGGGAACGUGCCUUUAGGUUCGGAAUAACUCAGGGAAACUUGUGCUAAUACCGAAUGUGCCCUUCGGGGGAAAGAUUUAUCGCCUUUAGAGCGGCCCGCGUCUGAUUAGCUAGUUGGUGAGGUAAUGGCUCACCAAGGCGACGAUCAGUAGCUGGUCUGAGAGGUUGAUCAGCCACAUUGGGACUGAGACACGGCCCAAACUCCUACGGGAGGCAGCAGUGGGGAAUCUUGCGCAAUGGGCGAAAGCCUGACGCAGCCAUGCAGCGUGAAUGAUGAAGGUCUUAGGAUUGUAAAAUUCUUUCACCGGGGACGAUAAUGACGGUACCCGGAGAAGAAGCCCCGGCUAACUUCGUGCCAGCCGCCGCAGUAA
rnacentral:rRNA from 1 species